rnacentral:rRNA from 1 species
AAUUUUAAGGUCAAGCUACAAAGGGCGCAUGGUGAAUGCCUUGGCACUAGGAGCCGAAGAAGGACGCGAUAAGCUGCGAUAAGCCUUGGGUAGCCGCAAAUAGGCUGAGAUCCAGGGAUUUCCGAAUGAGGAAACUCACAUGGGUAACCCCAUGUAUCAUGCACUGAAUACAUAGGUGUAUGAGGGUAAACCCGGGGAACUGAAACAUCUAAGUACCCGGAGGAAGAGAAAGAAAAAUCGAUUUCCUAAGUAGCGGCGAGCGAACGGGAAAGAGCCCAAACCAGAAACUUGUUUCUGGGGUUGUGGAUAGAUCAUGAAAGAAGAGAUAUCUUAAUCGAAGAGGGCUGGAACGCCCUACCAUAGAAGGUAAUAGUCCUGUAGGUAAAAAGAGAAAACUUUAAGAUCUAAUCCAGAGUACCACGAGACACGUGAAACCUUGUGGGAAGCAGGGAGGACCACCUCCCAAGGCUAAAUACUACCUAGUGACCGAUAGUGAAGCAGUACCG